CAUACCUCUGUUACCUACUUAUUCCUCAAAACCACCAGAUGAGAUAUUUAGUGUCUUUUUGAAGGUGAAGAAGCUGAACAAUAGAGCAGCGUUAACUGGCCUAAGGCUACACAAUAAGGCGGAAUAUAUUUCCAUACUCCAUUUUUUCAAGGACAUUGGUAAGUAAGUUCUUUUGGAUACGCAACUAUAAGGUUUUUUUGUUUUUGCGUUUUGUUAGUUUUCAUCUUUCAACAAGAGUCACUAGCCCAGAACAUUUUUUUUUUCAUUGUAAAAAUAACAGAACCGCAUUUGAAAAUUUGCAAAAUAAAAUAAAAUGCAUCCCAUGAUCAUGCAAAUACAAUCUUUCCCCCAUUAUUACUUUUAUAUAAUUCCUUCUAGUCUCUUUUUUCACCCUGCUAAUCCACUUAAUAGGCCGAAAUUGAUAAGCCAAAGAACAGGUAGGGUAGUAAAUAUAACACUAGGUAGCUGGAGGGGGUAAAGAAUCUCAUACUCCUGGCUAACAAAGGAGAUAAGUCAUUUACUAUUGCUAUAAUACCCCAGAGCAAUUUAAGAGGGUGGCUAACUUUAAGCAUUGGGACUACAGAUUCCUAACCACCUGCCGAUUUGAUUCUGGGGACUGUACUCUAAUCGCAGGGGAUUAUGCCUCGUGGAAAUCUCUUCAGGAGAUCAGACACCUCAGAAACCAGGUUCAGGCAGACUUCCUUUGCCGAAUAAUGCCUGUGAGUUUAUCUCCUCUCCUUGCCCGCACGAACGGUUUUGCUUCUCCAGGACUCCGGGGUCUGAGGCCUAACAGCCUGUUAAAGGGUGGAUGCGAUGGGCAACCAGGCAAUUCUGGCGUACUUCUCGCCCUAGAGCCUAUAGUCGGGUCCCGCAGUUGUCGCCACCGCGCUGCGCCCAUGCUCGACGUCGACGCAGACUCCUCAGCGCUCUGGGCGCCACAAAAUGCGCCGCUCCCUCUGAGCUGACUUUCCCGAGAGGGCGGAGAGACCGUGCGGCGAGAAAGGCCCGAAGCCAACGCGGACGCCGAACACUUCCCAGCAGGCUGUGCGCAAGCCUACAACUCCCAUUAUGCUCCACCGGGGAACAGCGCGGCUCCUCGCUGGGAGGCGGCAGUUCACCCCUUCAACCUCGCUUACACUUCUUCAAUACUGCUCGCUAUGCCUCUGGCAUUUGGGGAGCUCUUCAGUCCCUUAACGGGAGCACGGCGGCUGACGCGCUGAGACCUGAGGAGGCGUGGCUCCGCACCGGAAAAACCUCCGGUUGCCCGGGGAACGCCACGCACCACGGCGCCUGACCCGCCACUGAUGCUUGGGCUGAGCCAGAGGCUACCCCUUCACCCAACUUGCGGAGGCGGCUUUGCUCAGGCCCAGGAAUCCUUCCUGUGGAGGCCUAGAGAGGAAGGCUGAGGGACGCCCGGACCAUAUUCCCAUUGCAGAGAGGGAUACGAGCGAGUGUGUCCAUUCCUGUUCUUCAGCAGCUCCCGGGCCCGCAGGACUAAUCUCAAAGACCAGCUGGUUUGUAAAUACUUGACUCACAUUAUGGGAUUGCUAGACAGACUUUCAGGCUUGCUUGGCCUGAGGAAGAAGGAGGUUCAUGUUUUGUGCCUUGGGCUGGAUAACAGUGGCAAAACAACAAUCAUUAAUAAACUUAAACCUUCAAACGCUCAAUCUCAAGAUAUAGUUCCAACAAUAGGAUUCAGCAUAGAGAAAUUCAAAUCGUCCAGUUUGUCUUUUACAGUGUUUGAUAUGUCAGGUCAAGGAAGAUACAGAAAUCUCUGGGAACACUAUUAUAAAGAAGGACAAGCCAUUAUUUUUGUCAUUGAUAGUAGUGAUAGAUUAAGAAUGGUUGUGGCCAAAGAAGAACUUGAUACUCUUCUGAAUCAUCCAGAUAUUAAGCACCGCCGAAUACCAAUUUUAUUCUUUGCAAACAAAAUGGAUCUUAGAGAUGCAGUGACAUCUGUAAAAGUGUCUCAAUUGCUGUGUUUAGAGAACAUCAAAGAUAAACCAUGGCAUAUUUGUGCUAGUGAUGCCAUAAAAGGAGAAGGAUUGCAAGAAGGUGUAGACUGGCUUCAAGAAGACACUGGCAACGGGUAGGAGACAGCAAGUCAACUUUGAGGAGUCAGACCAGACUAAGAGAAAAGACCUAAAGAUCAGAUCCAGGCUGUGAAGACAUGAAAAGAUAGUAUUCGGAAACCUCAACAAUUUUCAAUUCAAGGAAUAUAUAUUAAGGCAAACUGAAUACUUUAAAUUUUUUGAAAGUUUUUACAUCUAAGAAUACUUGAUAAUCUUCUGCUUAUAUUUAUGGACUCUGAAUGAGGUUUUUAAGAACAUAAGACUUCAGGUAUGCUAAUCUGGCCAUUAAUUAUAUAAAAACUAAAUGUUUCCUGAAGGGCUCCCUCCCCAGAAUUAUCAACUUCUUGAAAGGUCUACAUUUGAUUGUAAUAAGAAUGUGUAAAGUCAGAGUUAUCUCAGUAUCUCAUCUUGAUUUAUGAUAUCUUUAAUGCAUUUUAUUUUUUUAAUUGUCUUCUAAAAACUUAGCUUAUGAUAUAACUUUGUAGUAGGAUUAUGCUUGUGAAAAAGAACUUUUAAAUAUUUAUAAGGGACCAUGGGUAAUUAAUAUAUAUUGAAGUUUUGCUAUAUGUCACCAUCAAUAAAACAUAAAAUGUAAUAUACAAACUAGUGUGCUUUAUAUGCUGAAAAGAAUAACGCUGUGUUAAUAUGGUGUUUGGUAUUUUACUGUCAAACAUUUGUAAAUUACCUGAGUCCAAGUUAAGCUGAAUUUAUUUAUUCAGUGAAUAAAACACUGAAUAAAUAAAUGAAACAUCUCUGUACCUAUACUAGUUUGGCAUUGUCCUAGGCAAUGGUGAUACAAGGUAAACAAAACAUAUUCCUUAUCCUCAGAGAACUUAAAAUUUAAUGAGGGAGAAUUUGAGAAUCUUUUCAUACAGAGUAUCUAAUUUUAUUUCAUUGGCUGACUGAAAAUAUUGCAUUUUAAGAUUAAGAGGUAUAAAAAUGAAUUAAUGUGAUUCUUCAUAAUUAUUACAACUGACUUAUUCUUUCUUCCUUUAAAAUGUCUCCAGUUUACUGCAGUACUUUGUUAAAAUAGACUGUGACUCACCAACUGUGUUUUUCCUGGGCAUAAACUGCUACAAAAAUGUUUUUUAGAAUUUUAAACAUAUCUCUGCCAUCUACUGUAUGCAAAUUGUGUUACUUCUCACAACUUAGAGACUGCUUAUAAUUGUAAACUCUAAAUAGAAGCUUUCAUUUUUAAUUAAUCACUGGGAAACAGUGGAUAGAGCAAUGGUGUAAAUUCUGAAAAUAUUACAUAUAAAGAAAAACUGUAAUAUAUAAUGUGUAACAUCAUAAAUAUCCUUAGGUGUGAAAAUGAUGAAAACAGAAGACAAAAGGUAAGUGAGUAAUAAAGAUGUAUUAUGAUAACUACAGUAGUGGUAUGUUUCACAGAGAUUUGAAUAAAAUAUUUUUAAAACUUCAGUAAAAGUUCUAUAAUUCAGUUUCUCUUAGUCCAGAAAUCCCAGUGCUUUCGAAUUUGGCACAUUGAAAGUCAUCCAGAAUAUUCCAGUGAUCCAGCAUUUUAGCUAGCUUGCCAGCCUCUCAUAAAUUGUUUUGAUGAAGAUACAAAGUAAGUCUCAUUAAUCUAGAGGUGCCUCAAAUAUAAAAAAGACAUGAACAUGAAAACACUGUAAUUCAACAAAAAAACCCUAAUAUGCUAUAACUAUUUUAGGAGGAUGGAGAAAGGGGUGUUUUAAGAGAAUUCAAAUCCUCAUCUACCGUAAGGUAACAAUAACAAUGAUAAAAGCUAUCACUAUAUUUUGAGCAAGAUAUUAUUACAUGUAUGGGAUUUUGCAUCAUAUAAUCCUCAUAAUAGCCUUAUGUAGUAGAUUCUAGUGUUUGUUUUAUAGACAAGGAAACUGAGGCCUAAAAAAGGUUGUUUAUGGUCACAGAGCUAGUAAAUGGUGGUACUGGGAUUCAGAACCAAACAGUCUGUUUAAAAUGGAUGAUUCAAGAGCUAAGAGUAUUACUGAUUUUAGAAAUAUAGAGAUAUCUGCCAUAAGAAUAGCUAAAAGGAUGGGAAAAAUCUCUCACUGGGGUGGGAGACCAGGAUUGGGGUGCUGGAGGUCAGGGACAAGGGACUACUGUUUUCUUCUUUUUGCUUGUUUUAAGUCUAUUAACACUUCAAACUUUAAACUCUGGACAAGAAUGACUAUGAUAAAAAUAAUUCUUGAAAUUAUGUUGAUUUGUUGAUUCUAAAUUAGUAUUCCACAAACUACAGUCAUUUACACCUAUGCAAAUAUGUAGAAGAGAGUACUAAAUGCUUCCUUUGUUUUCAUGAUCUCCAGAUCUAGUUUAUAGUCUAUAAACAUCCAUUCAUACUCUACAUUUUCAUGUAAAGAUUAUGUAGAAGCAAGUUGGGCUACAGUGGUCACAGCAUGCCAUGUGUGCAUACACUGAGGUUAUUGCAUUUGUAUUUAACAUAUUAUGCAAUUAAAAUUUAUUGCAUUAAAGCUCAAGCAAGUGUUUUUUUAUGUUUAGACAUCACUGUGUUAACAAAGUUUAGUUCAUUAAGCUCCACAUUUCAAUGUGACACCUCAUAAAAUGUUCAAAAGUUAGCCUAUUGUAUGUUUUGCAUUUAAAUAUUUAUAAUGUGGCCCUCUUCAGCCUGUGCCUUAUAAAUCACAAAAGAGCUGAGUUGUAUAUAUUUUUCAUUUAUAGGUCGUCUGCUAAAAAUUAUGAAUUGCCUUCUGAUUACUUAUUUUUUUCCCACCAUAUUGUGAUUUCCAUAAAUAUAUGUAGUUACUCUAGAGAAAACUUAAGGCAAAUACAUCCUGCAUGUAGCUCUGGUACAUUAAAAUACAUUAAAAAUGAUUUGCUUUCUGAUUUUUCCUUCUUGCUUCUUAGUUAAAAAAUAAAUAAAACCGAUAUUAAAUGCUCACUUAAAUGGAUGUUAUAAUAGGUUUGUUCAUUUCUGUGACUGGAAGGAAAUACUUUGAGAAAUGGUUAUUGUGUUUAAUUAAAUGUUUCAAGUAACUUAUUUAUUACAUUUUUAUUGUGAAUCUUUCUUAUUAAGGAUGUUCCUUCUGGGAUUUACAAGGAACUGCCUCAGGACCAUUACUGAUUCUUCCCUCUGAUCAUUCGAUUUUAAUGCCACACUUGGCAGCUUCAUGAACAUAUAGUAUUAAGCUUUUCUCUGGUGAUUUAGAAUAAACCAAAAAGGAAAAAUUUAAUUCUUCACCAAAUUUCAAGUCACCAAGUAAUGCUAGAAGUCAUAGAGGAAUAGGAGGUACUUUGAAAAUAAAAUUUGGUUAGAAAUAUAGUAGAAAUAAUAAACAUUUUUGUGGGUUUUACUAUGUGCCAGGU